rnacentral:ribozyme from 1 species
UACCUAGCAAUUCCUAUGCCUAUCUCUUCGCGGUACUGGUCGGGGUUCGAGCAACUUUAGGGAUGAUCGGGUAAAUAACCCCGGUGGGAACUUUGGUUGCAUGCUGACAGGGAAGG